rnacentral:rRNA from 1 species
ACGCUGGCGGCGUGCUUAACACAUGCAAGUCGAACGGAAAGGCCCUGCUUUUGUGGGGUGCUCGAGUGGCGAACGGGUGAGUAACACGUGAGUAACCUGCCCUUGACUUUGGGAUAACUUCAGGAAACUGGGGCUAAUACCGGAUAGGAGCUCCUGCUGCAUGGUGGGGGUUGGAAAGUUUCGGCGGUUGGGGAUGGACUCGCGGCUUAUCAGCUUGUUGGUGGGGUAGUGGCUUACCAAGGCUUUGACGGGUAGCCGGCCUGAGAGGGUGACCGGCCACAUUGGGACUGAGAUACGGCCCAGACUCCUACGGGAGGCAGCAGUGGGGAAUAUUGCACAAUGGGCGGAAGCCUGAUGCAGCAACGCCGCGUGCGGGAUGACGGCCUUCGGGUUGUAAACCGCUUUCGCCUGUGACGAAGCGUGAGUGACGGUAAUGGGUAAAGAAGCACCGGCUAACUACGUGCCAGCAGCCGCGGUGAUACGUAGGGUGCGAGCGUUGUCCGGAUUUAUUGGGCGUAAAGGGCUCGUAGGUGGUUGAUCGCGUCGGAAGUGUAAUCUUGGGGCUUAACCCUGAGCGUGCUUUCGAUACGGGUUGACUUGAGGAAGGUAGGGGAGAAUGGAAUUCCUGGUGGAGCGGUGGAAUGCGCAGAUAUCAGGAGGAACACCAGCGGCGAAGGCGGUUCUCUGGGCCUUUCCUGACGCUGAGGAGCGAAAGCGUGGGGAGCGAACAGGCUUAGAUACCCUGGUAGUCCACGCUGUAAACGGUGGGUACUAGGUGUGGGGUCCAUUCCACGGGUUCCGUGCCGUAGCUAACGCUUUAAGUACCCCGCCUGGGGAGUACGGCCGCAAGGCUAAAACUCAAAGGAAUUGACGGGGCCCCGCACAAGCGGCGGAGCAUGCGGAUUAAUUCGAUGCAACGCGUAGAACCUUACCUGGGUUUGACAUGGAUCGGGAGUGCUCAGAGAUGGGUGUGCCUCUUUUGGGGUCGGUUCACAGGUGGUGCAUGGCUGUCGUCAGCUCGUGUCGCGAGAUGUUGGGUUAAGUCCCGCAACGAGCGCAACCCUUGUUCACUGUUGCCAGUACGUUAUGGUGGGGACUCAGUGGAGACCGCCGGGGUCAACUCGGAGGAAGGUGGGGAUGACGUCAAGUCAUCAUGCCCCUUAUGUCCAGGGCUUCACGCAUGCUACAAUGGCUGGUACAGAGAGUGGCGAGCCUGUGAGGGUGAGCGAAUCUCGGAAAGCCGGUCUCGGUUCGGAUUGGGGUCUGCAACUCGACCUCAUGAAGUCGGAGUCGCUAGUAAUCGCAGAUCAGCAACGCUGCGGUGAAUACGUUCCCGGGGCUUGUACACACCGCCCGUCAAGUCAUGAAAGUUGGUAACACCCGAAGCCGGUGGCCUAACCGUUGUGGGGGAGCCGUCGAAGGUGGGACUGGUGAUUAG